UGGUGUAAAACUAAUUCAGCCUGACCUUGUUUUUCCAGAAAGGCCUGAUGUGGCCUGAUGAGCACGCAUUGUACAUCUGCUUUAAACAUUUACAAUGUCCCAAAGACAAGAAUGUCGCCCUUAAAGAUAUUCAGUCGUUUAUUCCAAAGAUAAAAAUCAUGACAGUUUAAGAAGUAUGGUUCAGAAGGAAAAGAAGAUGAAUUCCAUAACUAUGGUGUGAUCUAUGGAAAUGAGAAUAUUUCCUCAAAUCUAAGACACCAUCAAUGGGAGCAGAGCCCCAGCAGACUGGUUAGUAACAGGGUGUUCUGAGCCCAGCAUCCGAGAACCGUAAGAACACGGAGUUACUUGGCCAGUUGUCUUUCCUCAGUGCACACAUCACAGUCU